GCGUGCUAUACAUGCAGUCGAGCGGACCGACGGGAGCUUGCUCCCUUAGGUCAGCGGCGGACGGGUGAGUAACACGUGGGUAACCUGCCUGUAAGACUGGGAUAACUCCGGGAAACCGGGGCUAAUACCGGAUGCUUGAUUGAACCGCAUGGUUCAAUCAUAAAAGGUGGCUUUUAGCUACCACUUGCAGAUGGACCCGCGGCGCAUUAGCUAGUUGGUGAGGUAACGGCUCACCAAGGCGACGAUGCGUAGCCGACCUGAGAGGGUGAUCGGCCACACUGGGACUGAGACACGGCCCAGACUCCUACGGGAGGCAGCAGUAGGGAAUCUUCCGCAAUGGACGAAAGUCUGACGGAGCAACGCCGCGUGAGUGAUGAAGGUUUUCGGAUCGUAAAACUCUGUUGUUAGGGAAGAACAAGUACCGUUCGAAUAGGGCGGCACCUUGACGGUACCUAACCAGAAAGCCACGGCUAACUACGUGCCAGCAGCCGCGGUAAUACGUAGGUGGCAAGCGUUGUCCGGAAUUAUUGGGCGUAAAGCGCGCGCAGGCGGUUUCUUAAGUCUGAUGUGAAAGCCCCCGGCUCAACCGGGGAGGGUCAUUGGAAACUGGGGAACUUGAGUGCAGAAGAGGAGAGUGGAAUUCCACGUGUAGCGGUGAAAUGCGUAGAGAUGUGGAGGAACACCAGUGGCGAAGGCGACUCUCUGGUCUGUAACUGACGCUGAGGCGCGAAAGCGUGGGGAGCGAACAGGAUUAGAUACCCUGGUAGUCCACGCCGUAACGAUGAGUGCUAAGUGUUAGAGGGUUUCCGCCCUUUAGUGCUGCAGCAAACGCAUUAAGCACUCCGCCUGGGGGAGUACGGUCGCAAGACUGAAACUC
rnacentral:rRNA from 1 species